GCAUCGUCACUUAAAGGGUCCUUGAGACGACCUCCACGUAGUAAAUAUAGUAGUAGACCUAGAAGACCUUUGUAUCCAUCUCCUGCUUUCUUGCAAUCUGUUAUGUAUCGGGCGGGACCAAACGGACCAAAGAGAUCAUAGACUGACGAAAUGACAGGUUACUACAACUACUACGAGCACUUUGACCCCUACUUCUUCCGGAGAUAGACCUCUGUAAAUACCGCUAACAACACCCAGAAUAGCCGUAGCAUCAUCCAGUCCCUAUUUAUUGUUAAUUUCUGUAAAAACCUGCUUUUGUAUUGUAUAAGACGUUAUCGAUAAUAAAUGUUUAACACUUC